GGAGUCUAACACGUGCGCGAGUCGCAGGGUAGUACGAAACCCGAAGCGCAACGAAAGUGAACCUUUUCUUACGAAUCGGUAGGUGGGAUCCCGGACUUGCCGCUCGCGGGAAGAAUGGGCGCACCACCGGCCUGUCUCGGCCGCGACGUCGGCGAGGCGGAGCAAGAGCGUACGCGUUGGGACCCGAAAGAUGGUGAACUAUGCCUGAGCAGGAUGAAGCCAGAAGAAAUUCUGGUGGAGGUCCGCAGCGAUUCUGACGUGCAAAUCGAUCGUCAAACUUGGGUAUAGGGGCG
rnacentral:rRNA from 1 species